GCAGUGGGUACGGGCAGACUAGAGUGCGUAGGGGGAGAUUGGAAUUCCUGGUGUAGCGGUGGAAUGCGCAGAUAUCAGGAGGACCACCGAUGGCGAAGGCAGAUCUCUGGGCCGUAACUGACGCUGAGGAGCGAAAGCGUGGGGAGCGAACAGGAUUAGAUACCCUGGUAGUCCACGCCGUAAACGUUGGGAACUAGAUGUGGGGGCCAUUCCACGGUCUCCGUGUCGCAGCUAACGCAUUAAGUUCCCCGCCUGGGGAGUACGGCCGCAAGGCUAAAACUCAAAGGAAUUGACGGGGGCCCGCACAAGCGGCGGAGCAUGCGGAUUAAUUCGAUGCAACGCGAAGAACCUUACCAAGGCUUGACAUAUACCGGAAACGUCCAGAGAUGGUCGCCCCGCAAGGUCGGUAUACAGGUGGUGCAUGGUUGUCGUCAGCUCGUGUCGUGAGAUGUUGGGUUAAGUCCCGCAACGAGCGCAACCCUCGUUCUAUGUUGCCAGCACGUUAUGGUGGGAACUCAUAGGAGACUGCCGGGGUCAACUCGGAGGAAGGUGGGGAUGACGUCAAAUCAUCAUGCCCCUUAUGUCUUGGGCUUCACGCAUGCUACAAUGGCCGGUACAAAGGGCUGCGAUACCGUAAGGUGGAGCGAAUCCCAAAAAGCCGGUCUCAGUUCGGAUUGAGGUCUGCAACUCGACCUCAUGAAGUCGGAGUCGCUAGUAAUCGCAGAUCAGCAACGCUGCGGUGAAUACGUUCCCGGGCCUUGUACACACCGCCCGUCAAGUCAUGAAAGUCGGUAACACCCGAAGCCAGUGGCCUAACCCUGUGGAGGAGCGUGAAGUGAUCGAGCUCCU
rnacentral:rRNA from 1 species